rnacentral:rRNA from 1 species
AACGUAGGUGGCGAGCGUUGUCCGGAAUUAUUGGGCGUAAAGGGCUCGUAGGCGGUUCGUCACGUCGGGAGUGAAAACUCGGGGCUUAACCCCGAGCCUGCUUCCGAUACGGGCAGACUAGAGGUAGGCAGGGGAGAGCGGAACUCCUGGUGUAGCGGUGGAAUGCGCAGAUAUCAGGAAGAACACCGGUGGCGAAGGCGGCUCUCUGGGCCUUACCUGACGCUGAGGCGCGACAGCGUGGGGAGCAAACAGG